GCGUACGGCCAACUGCUAUGCAAAUAGAGGAAAAUCCGCUCUAUCACUUUCUGCGAUGAAAGUAGUGAUUAUGCUAGAUCUAAUAAAUCUAGACAAUGAAAGUUGAUGACUAGUGCAACAGAGACGAGCUUAUUAAGUUAAGAUGCAACGAUGUAAACUCCAUAAGAUAGAAACCCAAAUUUUGGUAGGGGAAUCAAAAUAAAAGGAACUUGAACUUUUAUUUGAAAGUAGAAAUACUUAGAUAAAUAGUUGGCGCUUGUAAAAGUACAGAAAGCGGUUUAUAGUA
rnacentral:RNase_P_RNA from 2 species